AGGAAGUAUUUUCCUUUUUAUUAUUAUGAUGACUGUGAGUGCAUUUGGCUCGAGAUUGUGCAACUGAUAUUUCAUAUUUGUUGUACGUCGGUGUGGAUAAACUCAAGCUACCUUUUUUUCUUAUGUCUGACU
rnacentral:snoRNA from 1 species